rnacentral:lncRNA from 1 species
UUGCAAAAAAUUUGGAAAAAGAAAAUAUGGCAUUGAAUUUGGAGAAUAAAUUCCUGGAGAACGCAACCAACGAGCAGGCCUCCAAAAUUAGGAGUUUGAUUUCAGACAAGAUAGUCUUAUAGGAAAAACUCCAAGAUUAUGAAGACCCAAUCGAAGAAGACGUCGAUAGUUUUGCAUAAACAAGCUUAAGGGAGGAUGUUAGUUUAUAAGAUUGUUUUAUUUGUUUAUUUUUAUUUGAAGAGUUGUGUUUCUUAUGAAGGGGUGUGUCCUUUUAUAAGGGUUGUGUCUUUUGGUUUAGGGUCAUGUCCUUAGUGAAAGGUUGUGUUUUUUCGUGAAGAGUUGCGUCGUUUCAUGCUAUAUAAAUAGAGAGCAUGUAAUUUGUUGUGUAGAGUUGUGAAGUGUGGAUCAAAUUGUAUUAUUCAGUUGUAGUGUACUGAAGUUUAUUUAUAUUAAUAAAGUUUGUUAUUCUAGUGAUAAAAACUUUUGUAAUUCAUUUAUAUAUUUGCCCACCAACACAAAUGGGUGCAAAAUCAUGCAAACUUUUAUGAGAUUUUCAUCGCCAUCGUUGUCAUCAUCGCAACAUUAUCAUCUCUAUUUUCAUACGACCUUUGUAGGUUUUUUCUUUGAAUGGUGAUUAUGGGCAGUUAUCAAUUUUCAAUGAUCAUAUUGGUUAGUUCAAUUAUACAUUUCCCUACCCAAAAAAUAAAACACACUAGAGUUUUUAUUUUCCAAACUCCUUUCUUCUUCCUCUUCAAUAUUUUUUUUUUCUUCUAUUAUUUAUCCGUCGCAUCCCGCGCGUUACUACACUAGCAGUGAAUUAAUAUCAAAUAAAAGAGCUCAUUAUCUUCGUCGCGAUA